UAGGGAAUCUUCGGCAAUGGACGGAAGUCUGACCGAGCAACGCCGCGUGAGUGAAGAAGGUUUUCGGAUCGUAAAGCUCUGUUGUUAGAGAAGAACGUUGGUAGGAGUGGAAAAUCUACCAAGUGACGGUAACUAACCAGAAAGGGACGGCUAACUACGUGCCAGCAGCCGCGGUAAUACGUAGGUCCCGAGCGUUGUCCGGAUUUAUUGGGCGUAAAGCGAGCGCAGGCGGUUCUUUAAGUCUGAAGUUAAAGGCAGUGGCUUAACCAUUGUACGCUUUGUAAACUGGAGGACUUGAGUGCAGAAGGGGAGAGUGAAAUUCCAUGUGUAGCGGUGAAAUGCGUAGAUAUAUGGAGGAACCCCGGUGUCGAAAGCGGCUCUCUGGUCUGUAACUGACGCUGAGGCUCGAAAGCGUUGGGAGCAAACAGG
rnacentral:rRNA from 1 species